AGAGAUGCGGGCUAUCAUGCAAGUCGAGCGGACCGACGGGAGCUUGCUCCCUUAGGUCAGCGGCGGACGGGUGAGUAACACGUGGGUAACCUGCCUGUAAGACUGGGAUAACUCCGGGAAACCGGGGCUAAUACCGGAUGCUUGAUUGAACCGCAUGGUUCAAUCAUAAAAGGUGGCUUUUAGCUACCACUUNCAGAUGGACCCGCGGCGCAUUAGCUAGUUGGUGAGGUAACGGCUCACCAAGGCGACGAUGCGUAGCCGACCUGAGAGGGUGAUCGGCCACACUGGGACUGAGACACGGCCCAGACUCCUACGGGAGGCAGCAGUAGGGAAUCUUCCGCAAUGGACGAAAGUCUGACGGAGCAACGCCGCGUGAGUGAUGAAGGUUUUCGGAUCGUAAAACUCUGUUGUUAGGGAAAACAAGGGA
rnacentral:rRNA from 1 species